AUUGAACGCUGGCGGCAGGCCUAACACAUGCAAGUCGAGCGGGGUUUUCGGACCUAGCGGCGGACGGGUGAGUAAUGCGUAGGAAGCUACCCGAUAGAGGGGGAUACCAGUUGGAAACGACUGUUAAUACCGCAUAAUGUCUACGGACCAAAGUGUGGGACCUUCGGGCCACAUGCUAUCGGAUGCGCCUACGUGGGAUUAGCUAGUUGGUGGGGUAAUGGCUCACCAAGGCGACGAUCCCUAGCUGGUUUGAGAGGAUGAUCAGCCACACUGGAACUGAGACACGGUCCAGACUCCUACGGGAGUCAGCAGUGGGGAAUAUUGGACAAUGGGCGCAAGCCUGAUCCAGCCAUGCCGCGUGUGUGAAGAAGGCCUUCGGGUUGUAAAGCACUUUCAGUAGGGAGGAAGGGUGUUGUGUUAAUAGCACAGCAUUUUGACGUUACCUACAGAAGAAGCACCGGCUAACUGCGUGCCAGCCGCCGCCGUAACAC
rnacentral:rRNA from 1 species